rnacentral:rRNA from 1 species
UGGGGAAUAUUGCACAAUGGGCGAAAGCCUGAUGCAGCGACGCCGCGUGAGGGAUGACGGCCUUCGGGUUGUAAACCUCUUUCAGCAGGGAAGAAGCGAAAGUGACGGUACCUGCAGAAGAAGCGCCGGCUAACUACGUGCCAGCAGCCGCGGUAAUACGUAGGGCGCAAGCGUUGUCCGGAAUUAUUGGGCGUAAAGAGCUCGUAGGCGGUUAGUCGCGUCUGCUGUGAAAACUCGAGGCUCAACCUCGGGCUUGCAGUGGGUACGGGCUGACUAGAGUGCGGUAGGGGUGACUGGAAUUCCUGGUGUAGCGGUGGAAUGCGCAGAUAUCAGGAGGAACACCGAUGGCGAAGGCAGGUCACUGGGCCGCAACUGACGCUGAGGAGCGAAAGCAUGGGGAGCGAACAGGAUUAGAUACCCUGGUAGUCCAUGCCGUAAACGUUGGGCACUAGGUGUGGGGUCCAUUCCACGGAUUCCGUGCCGCAGCAAACGCAUUAAGUGCCCCGCCUGGGGAGUACGGCCGCAAGGCUAAAACUCAAAUGAAUUGACGGGGUCAUAGCU